rnacentral:lncRNA from 1 species
ACUUGCAAAUCCUGCUGAAGAUAGCACAUGUGGCAGGUUCAUAGAUACGCCCUUCAAGGCAGUCCCUCCAAAUGAGAAGAGCAUGAACUAUGUGGUUGUACAGCUUGGGUGUGAAUUCCAGCUUGGCCACUAUGUGGCUUUGGAAAAAUUACUUAAUUUGUGUGCCUAAUUUCCUCAUCGGAAAAACAAAGAUAAUAAAAUAUACCUCUUGGGGUUGUUGUAUGGAUUAAAUGUGUCUGUGUAUACAGAACCCCUAACACAGUCUCUCAGAUGUUGUAACUGUUUAACAAGUGGUGAUGUGAUUAUUGUUGAUAAUGUUGAUGGUAAGGCCAUUUACCCUACAUGGGUUCAAUUUUAGGAAGUUCAUUGUUGCUGCACGGCUGAGCCCUGUCUGCAACACCGCUAGUAUCAGUAAUAAAAUGGAUACUUUGAUUUCUA